GGGGCAUUAGCUCAGUUGGCUAGAGCGUCCCGAUAAGUCGGGAAGGUUUAGUGUUCGACUCCGAUAUGCUCCA
rnacentral:tRNA from 1 species